GACAACUCAUCACCUUCCUCCCCACUAUUCACAAAUUCAUAAAAAAGUGUUAUCCGAUUAUCAUACUAUAAAGCCGCGGAGCGGCAGGGAUUCAAAGCCACACACGGCCAGUCCCGAAAUACAAACAAGGCCAUUCAAGGCCGAAACAUAAAGACAUAAAAAAAAAACAAAUCUCUCGCAAGAGAUCUAACCCAAGUCACCCUCAGAACUUACGCCCUCUUCACCCGCCGCCUUGUCCGAGCCUGGAGCCGCGUCGCUUCCGUUCUCUCCGACCAUCGGAUCUUUCCCCUCUGGGUCUUCUGAACACGUCGGAAGGAAGCAAGCAGAUUUUAGGUCGGCCAGGAUGAGACCGAAAUCGCCAUCCUCGGCCGCCAUAUCUCCCUUGCAGCCGGACAGUCGGGCCUCUUCGGCCUCCAAGGUCGGGGGAGUCUCACUUUGGAACGACCGAACCACGGCCAUCCCGCCCUCAAUCGUCGCCAAAGCGAAAUCCCUGCUCCGGAUACACUCGAGGGAACCCAGGGAAGCAGAAAUCUUCGCCAAGCGAGCCUGAAACUCCGCGCGAAGGGCAUCCGUAGCCUCUUGGAUCCCGCGGCGCGCUAGUCCAGCGUCACUCUCGACCUGACGCUGGAGUCGACGCACCUCCGAGGAUUUGGCCUUCCUGGCCUUCUUUUCCUUAAGCAAGGAACUCGCCGUCUUCCCGAG
rnacentral:lncRNA from 1 species